GCACUUCAGUGUUGUUUUACCUCACUUUUGGUAUACAGUUCCAGCUUCGUCUCUUGAAGUGGUGAAAUUGUCAGCGCCUCGGGUCUACACAAGGCGGUAAGAAGCUUGACCAGAGUCACAGCAAACUGGACACUUCAUCCUGUAGAAUACCUGCUAACAUGGUACAUGUUACCACAGUUGGUAAGAACUACCCUUCCUGGUGCGUGAAUAGCAAUACCUACAGCAGGGAUCAAGCAAACUCUUACUGCUAGUCCUGGCAAAUGCUUCCAGUGUAAAUUUAAAAUAAGGAUGUUUUAAACAGCGUUAUAUGCAGAUGUGAGAUCCAGUUCAUGUGGACAAGCGGCACCGAACGAGGCGUGAGGACCUGGCGGUGAUCAGGGUAAACUGUCCUGCUCCAACUCUUCUCACACCAGAGGGCUCAGCAGACUACAGCCAGACAACUGGGAAGGCGAAGAAGACUGUCUCGGGAUGCAGAAGAACAUCUGUAACGACGGCAUAGUGACAUAUUGGCUGUCACCGUCUUGUCAUGAGACUAGCCAUUGAUAUUGGUUUUUGCCAGAAAAUGGGCUAAUUUAUAGUGAAGUUGUAUAGUAAAAUUUUAAACUAG